rnacentral:rRNA from 1 species
AUUGAACGCUGGCGGCAUGCUUUACACAUGCAAGUCGAACGGUAACAGGUUAAGCUGACGAGUGGCGAACGGGUGAGUAAUGCAUCGGAACGUGCCCGAUCGUGGGGGAUAACGCAGCGAAAGCUGCGCUAAUACCGCAUACGAUCUGAGGAUGAAAGCGGGGGACCGUAAGGCCUCGCGCGAUCGGAGCGGCCGAUGUCAGAUUAGGUAGUUGGUGGGGUAAAGGCUCACCAAGCCAACGAUCUGUAGCUGGUCUGAGAGGACGACCAGCCACACUGGGACUGAGACACGGCCCAGACUCCUACGGGAGGCAGCAGUGGGGAAUUUUGGACAAUGGGCGAAAGCCUGAUCCAGCAAUGCCGCGUGCAGGAAGAAGGCCUUCGGGUUGUAAACUGCUUUUGUACGGAACGAAACGGCCCUUUCUAAUACAGGGGGCUAAUGACGGUACCGUAAGAAUAAGCACCGGCUAACUACGUGCCAGCAGCCGCCGUAAGAC